GACGAACGCUGGCGGCGUGCUUAACACAUGCAAGUCGAACGAAGUGGCGCACGGGUGAGUAACGCGUAAUCAACCUGCCCUUCAGUGGGGGACAACAGGUGGAAACGACUGCUAAUACCGCAUACUGAAGGUGGGGAUGUCGUCUGAUUCGCGAGUUGGAGAGGUAACGGCCCACCAAGGCGAUGCUCAGUAGCCGGUCGUAUGGGGUGAACGGCCACAGUGGGACUGGGACACGGCCCAGACGCCUACGGGAGGCAGCAGUGGGGAAUCUUCCGCAAUGGACGAAAGUCUGACGGAGCAACGCCGCGUGAGUGAUGAAGGCCUUCGGGUUGUAAAGCUCUGUUAAUCGGGACGCGGUACCGGAAUAGAAAGCCACGGCUAACUACGUGCCAGCAGCCGCGGUAAUAC
rnacentral:rRNA from 1 species